GAUGAACGCUGGCGGCGUGCUUAACACAUGCAAGUCGAACGAUGAAGCUCAGCUUGCUGGGUGGAUUAGUGGCGAACGGGUGAGUAACACGUGAGUAACCUGCCCUUAACUCUGGGAUAAGCCUGGGAAACUAGGUCUAAUACCGGAUAGGAGCGCCUACCGCAUGGUGGGUGUUGGAAAGAUUUAUCGGUUUUGGAUGGACUCGCGGCCUAUCAGCUUGUUGGUGAGGUAAUGGCUCACCAAGGCGACGACGGGUAGCCGGCCUGAGAGGGUGACCGGCCACACUGGGACUGAGACACGGCCCAGACUCCUACGGGAGGCAGCAGUGGGGAAUACUGCACAAUGGGCGAAAGCCUGAUGCAGCGACGCCGCGUGAGGGAUGACGGCCUUCGGGUUGUAAACCUCUUUCAGUAGGGAAGAAGCGAAAGUGACGGUACCUGCAGAAGAAGCACCGGCUAACUACGUG
rnacentral:rRNA from 1 species